rnacentral:rRNA from 1 species
CGAAAGCUAGGGUAGCGAAACAGAUUAGAUACCUGAGUAGUCCUAGCUGUAAACGAUGUCCGCUAGCUCUUUGCGCAAGCAAGGGGUGUAAGCUAACGCGUUAAGCGGACCGCCUGGGGAGUACGGCCGCAAGGCUAAAACUCAAAGGAAUUGACGGGGACCCGCACAACCAGUGGAGCGUGUGGUUCAAUUCGUUACUAAGCGAAAAACCUCACCAGGGUUUGACAUGCUAUCGUACAUUCUUCUGGAAACAGAAGGAAAUCCGCAAGGAUGAUAGCACAGGUGCUGCAUGGCUGUCGUCAGCUCGUGCCGUGAGGUGUUCCCUUAAGUGGGACAACGAGCGCAACCCCCAUCUCGAGUUAUAAGUGUCUCGAGAGACUGCUCCGCCUUUGGCGGAGAGGAAGGAGGGGCAGACGUCAAGUCAGCAUGGUCCUUAUACCCUGGGCUACACACAUGUUACAAUGAGUACAACAACGAGCUUUGCGAGCUUGCAAAAGUAUGCAAAUCUCUUAAAUGUAUUCUCAGUGGGGAUUGAGGUCUGAAACCCGACCUCAUGAACUUGGAAUUGGUAGUAAUCGCGGAUCAGCAACGCCGCGGUGAAUACGUUCUUGCCUCUUGCACACACCGCCCGUCAAACAAACAAAGUCGGAAGCAUUUGAACCUCGCCUUCGGCGGGGGAGGAUAUUUUCGGCGAUGGGUGUUAAGUCGUAACAAGGUAGCCGUA